rnacentral:misc_RNA from 1 species
GCUGCUGGGACAAUGAAGACAAUCCAUUAGGAGUGUUGAGUGCAUGGUGGUGCAAGAAGCAUGCAGUGGAGGCCAUUUUUGUUCACUUGAUUUGCAGAUACGUCUGCAGGAGGAUGAUGAUGAAAAAAAUCCAAAGAAUAAUGGAUGUGGAAAAAAAUCGCUUGAGUUGAGGUGAUUUGUGUGUUGGGGCAUGUGAAGGAAAAUUGUUGAUUUUGU